GGAUGGAGGUGGUGAUGAAGGUGCACGUGGCUGAUGUCCCUGUGUCUCUGAAGGUGGUGAUGAGAUGUGGCUGUGGCACAGGGAGUGUGACAGUCAAGCUGUAACUCCAGCUUUUCCCUCUUUCCAUGCACCAUCAACUGGGAGCGAUGCUGUCAGUGCCUUGUCACGCUGCAGAUAUCUGAGGGGUUUGUGCUCACUGCAGCAACACCAAACUCCAGGUCCUCUAGGUGAACGUUUCUGGCUAGAGGGGACAGUGUCCUCUCUGUUAAAGAGAGAAGGCCGGUGCAAGGCUUGCUUGGAAAAGAUCCUGUGAAUUGGACAAGCCUCACUAAGUGAUGUCUGCAGUGCACGUUCAGCAUUACGCUUUACAGUUCAUAUCUAUAUCAGUCAUGUAUGUGUGCAUAUACAUGGGACAAUUGCUGAGGACAUUAGUGACAGCUACGAGUGACGUUCCAUCAACUAGAGAUUAAUCAACUAUUUAAACACGCUCAAAUAAAAGUAUGCAGGCUUUGUUGGGUUGAAAAAGCUACUCCUUUAACCUCUUUCCAUUAAAUACGUUGCAUUCCCCAAACAUCUUUGUAGUCGUCCUCAGCACUUGAUCUGUUUUGUCAUCCCCGAAUGCGGGUGACCACAAUUACAUGUGCUGCUCCAGAGGAAGGCUCAUCAGCGCUUGGUCUAAUGGGAUGGAGCUUUUCAGGUGCCUUCUGGCUCAACCUCACCUUUGUCAUGGUUUUGGCCAUGGGCUGGACUCACCCUAUGACCCAUCUCUUCCUAUGUAACUUUAGGAACUUUCUUUCCUUUGAAUUUUUGACCUUCUGAGCCGACAGCCAUUGUCACAAGAUUCGUUUCCUCAGCCAUCUCCUGGA